AUACCUGGUCAAAUAAAAAUUAUACCUAAGACCAAAGAAAAAUAUAUUUCAUUUUCGAAGUUCAUUCCCGUUGCAGAUAAUGAAUAUGUACAAUUAAGGUUUUUAGAUUCUUUUAAUUUUUUAGGAACCAGUUUAGACAAACUAGCUAAAACAAUGCAGAUAGAAGAUUUUGUUAAUCUUAGAUCUCAUUUUUCUGAUAAUAAACAUUUUAGUUUGCUAACUCGAAAAGGUGUUUAUCCAUACGAUUAUAUGACCAAUUGGAAAUGUUACGAGCAACAGGCGCUGCCGCUAAAGUGUUACUUUCAUAAUUCUUUGACAAACGAAGACGUCAGCGAUGACGAUUAUAAUCAUGCUAAGACUGUAUGGAAUUGUUUCAAUAUAAAUAAUUUAGGAGAAUACACUGAUCUGUACUUGAAAACAGAUGUACUUUUAUUAACAGAUAUAUUUCAAAAUUUUAGAAAAACUUGUAAACAAUAUUAUAAACUGGAUCCUGCAUUUUAUAUAACAACUCCUAGUCUAUCUUUUGAUGCAAUGUUACUUAAAACAGGUGUUCAAUUAGAACUGUUGACAGAUUUAGCGAUUAUUAAAAUGAUUCAGGAUGGUAUUAGAGGAGGUCUGUGUGUGUGCUCGCAUCGGUAUGCAAAGGCUAAUCAUAAAUAUAUGCCUCAGUAUAAUGCUGUAAAACCAGAUUGUUUCAUAACGUAUUUAGAUUGUAAUAAUUUAUAUGGUUAUAGUAUGUGCCAGUAUUUGCCAUAUUCUAGUUUUAGAUUUCUUAAUGAUAACGAAUUAAAUCAUUUACUCAUUCAAAAUAUUGAUGAUGAUGCUGACUGGGGCUAUAUUUUAGAAGUUGAUCUUUUAUAUCCCGAUCAUUUACAUAACUACCAUAAUGACCUGCCUUUUUGUCCUGAAAAAUGCAUUCCUCCAGGUGGUAAAACAAAAAAACUUAUCGCAAAUUUAUACAAUAAGUACAAUUAUGUAAUACACUACGUUCAUUUAAAAAAGUGUUUGGAGCAUGGAUUAAUAUUACGAAAGAUUCAUAGAGUUAUUACUUUCAAACAAAGCCCCUAUUUAAAACAGUACAUAGAAUUAAACACUCAAUUACGACAGAAAGCAAAAAGUACAUUCGAGCAAGACUUUUUUAAAUUAUUAAACAACAGUGUCUUUGGUAAAACGUUGGAAAAUACUGAAAAGAGAGUCACUGUACAUUUAGUUAAUCAAUGGAGUGACAAAACAAAUAAAACCAACAAAACAACAUCCGCUGAGAGGCUUAUAGCUAAUCCUUAUUUUCAUAGUUCAACUAUAUUGACUGAAAAUUUAGUUGCUAUACAAAUGAAGCCAGAUCAAAUAAUCUUAGACAAACCUAUCUACAUAGGAUUCACAGUUUUAGAUCUUUCUAAGUCCCAUAUGUAUAACUUUCAUUACAAUGUUAUUAAACCAUUUUAUAAUGAUCGAGUACGCUUAUGUUAUACAGAUACCGAUUCUUUUGUGUAUGAAAUAUAUACUAACGAUUUUUAUUGUGAUCUGAAGCACAAUUUCUUGGAAUACUUUGAUAGCAGUAACUAUAAUAAUGAGAACGAAUUUGCCAUACCUCUAAUCAAUAAAAAAAUUCCUGGUCUUUUUAAGGAUGAAAUGGGUGGAAAAUAUAUUUCUGAGUUUGUGGGAUUAAGGUCAAAGCUCUAUUCUUUAAAAUGUUCAAAUACAGUUAUUAAAAAAGCAAAGGGAAUUAAAUCAUACGUGCUCCGAGACUUAGAUAUCACAGACUAUGAACGCAUUUUAUUAAAUGGUGGAGUUAUUCGAAGAAAAAAUAUUAUGUUUAAAUCAUUGAAACAUGAAAUUUUUACACAAAGUGUCAAUAAAAUUACAUUAUCCAGUAACGAUGAUAAACGUAUUAUUUUGAAAGACAAAAUAGCAACAAAAGCCUGGGGGCACUCAUAUACCUAUAAAAUGUAAACAAUAGUGAAUACGUCAUAUCUUGGAAUUAUUAUAUCACUGAUCCUUUCUUUAAUGUAUUAAUAAAUUAUAGAGUGGUUCUGUAUAAAACCAAUUUUAGUUAAGUUAAUAAUUGUAUUAGUGUUAAUUAGCGUAAUGUUAUUUAGGUGUAGUUUAUAAAAAUAAAUUAAGAUUUUUAAUAUUGUAAUAAAUGUGUGCAUUCAUUAUAUAUUUUUUGUUUUAUUUUUUUACCAUAUAGAAAGCCUUUAUUACUAAAAAGAAAAAAGUGGAUGUGACGAACCAUUUAGCUACAGAACCCUAAAAAAUUAUGUGUAAUACGAAACGGUAUGACGUCACGUUAGCCACAGUACCGAGCAAAAAUGCAUGGUAUACAUUUUUAGGUGUUGCAAUGGUAGCUGUAGUACUGCUCGUUGAUUAUUAAAUUAUUCUCAUUUGUCUGCUAGAUCGUACACGAUCAAUAUCAACAAUUUUGUUAUUUAAUAAAUAUUAUUCAGUGUAGAUACUCGUACUACGUGUUACAUCACAUUCUAAACAUGACUUCGAUAGCGGGAUCAGAUGUUAUGUUCAGUCAAUACGCACAGGAUCCGUAUGAAGAAUUUAAUGAGAUGAUCCGAUGCGAACGCGCUCCGUUGCGAACGCGCCUGGGUUGCAGCCAGGCUCCGAAAGAAAAGAAGAAUACGUCUCGACGCAAGGACAAAUCUAAACACCAUAAUUCGACUCAAUCUUUCGUCAUGAGUAGACAUCAUCGGCGAGGCAGUAAACUAAUAAAAAUUUCAGUGAUCGAGUUGUGCAAUGAUUCUCCGGACAGUGAUAGUGACAGUAAUAGUGAUAACGUUAUUAUCCAAGCGCAAUACGUAGUUAAAGACGCGGUUGACUUUAUUAUGGACGAAACGGAGUCGUUAGUUAAGAAAAUAUCGAAAUCAUUAAUUGAUAGUGACUUUUAAAAACCCUGUGUAAAUAUUCAAAUUUUUAUUGUUUAUUGUAAUAAUUUAAUUGGAAUAAAUAUUCGGUUAAGUUAGUUUUAAUCUUCUUAAACUUAGUAUUUUUAUGUUAAUGUAGUAUUUUCAUGUUAAUGGUAUUCGUACAGGUACAGGUAUUAUAUAAAUUGUAAAAAUAAAAAGCAUGUUUUCUGUAUAAAA